UGGGGAAUCUUGGACAAUGGGGGCAACCCUGAUCCAGCGAUGCCGCGUGGGUGAAGAAGGCCUUCGGGUUGUAAAGCCCUUUAGGCUGGGAAGAAGGAUGCGGGAUGAAUAAUCCUGUAUUUUGACGGUACCAGCAGAAUAAGCACCGGCAAACUCUGUGCCAGCAGCCGCGGUAAUACAGAGGGUGCGAGCGUUAAUCGGAUUUACUGGGCGUAAAGGGCGCGUAGGCGGUCGUAUGAGUGUGAUGUGAAAGCCCCGGGCUCAACCUGGGAAGUGCAUCGCAAACGAUACGACUGGAGUAUAUGAGAGGGUGGCGGAAUUUCCGGUGUAGCGGUGAAAUGCGUAGAGAUCGGAAGGAACGUCAAUGGCGAAGGCAGCCACCUGGCAUAAUACUGACGCUGAGGCGCGAAAGCGUGGGGAGCGAACA
rnacentral:rRNA from 1 species